GAUCAUGGCUCAGGAUGAACGCUAGCGACAGGCUUAACACAUGCAAGUCGGAGGGGCAGCAUGAGGUAGCAAUACCUUGAUGGCGACCGGCGCACGGGUGAGUAACGCGUAUGCAACCUGCCUGAUACCGGGGUAUAGCCCAUGGAAACGUGGAUUAACACCCCAUAGUACUUUUAUCCUGCCUGGGAUGUGAGUUAAAUGUUCAAGGUAUCGGAUGGGCAUGCGUCCUA
rnacentral:rRNA from 1 species